CUGGACACGCCUGUGAUGCUCGAGGCCUCCUCCCCUGCUGGCACGUCUAGGGUUACCGCGAUGCCGGCAGCAGCAUGCCUGGGAACCGGAUCGACUGCAGCCCGGAUCCUGGCAUUUUCAUUCAGUUCGAAAGUCGGUGUUGUGUGUGAACGCUGACCCGGGCAGCACAGGGCAGCAGCUGCUGGCGAGGACUUACGCCACCAUCAGAAGUCGGGGCUGAGACGUUUGUAGAACGUGGACACAGGCCGCGGGCCUCCGUUGGCCUCGGGAUCCCACCCCUUAAACCCGGGGUGACCAGUUGUCUUUGACAGCUGGCCUGGGGCCUCGCUGGCACGUUAGUGAUCCAUCUGUCUUCCUCCCAGUCGGGGGUAUCUCGUCGUUACAAGACCGUCCAUCCUUCUCUGCCCCCCAGAUCCUUCAUCUCCGGCCUGGCCGUGUCCUCGGCCCCGAUGUUGUCCUACUCGACUCGACAUCAGCCCACGUUUCUCCGCCCUGAGUUGUUGUCUCUGCUGAGCACUGCACCAAGCAGGCAGGUUCCCGGUGAACUGGCCUUUCUUUCUUUUUUUCUUUUCUUUUCUUUCUUUCUUUUUUUUUUUUUUUGAACUGGCCUUUCAACCACCGUGAUUGUCAGGGAUGAAGCUAACAUGCCGCUUUGAUCCAGCUUUCUAAGACGUACCGUUUUCCUAAUUACACUUUCCCAGAGGCAAACCCAGAUGGAUGUCAGAACGAAAAUAAACGGAAUGUGGCUCAACUGAGUGCAACUCUAAUGACUAACACAGAGGAAGUUGGCUUGGAUUUAAAUUUACUGAAGUAUGUAGCAAAAAAGAAAAUCAUUUCAUCUUACCUGUGUAACUAGAGGUACAGUGGAUUACAUUUCCUUUCAAAGUAGCACUCCUUCAAAACCAUCUGGCUUCCGAAGUAUUUAAUACCCAUCCAGUGAGAUAAUUAGUAUGCAAGACGUGUCAUCAGAGUUGAAGAAUGGAAAAUAAAAUGUACAUAACAGGCUCAGGCUUAAUCGCUAAUAAAAGUGAAGAUAAUCAGUGUAACUCUAAAGUAUCAUUAACAACCUGAACAGGAGCACACAUAGAUGUGAAACAAAGUCUAAUACAAGGAAAGCAUUUUGAUAUCAGCCACUUGCCAUUAUGCAAGCAAUUAGCGCUCCACCACAGCGAGCUAGAAGGGAGGAAAGCUUCCAGCUAAUUCCACAUGCAAAUCCCUCCUGUAGAAGGGUUUAGGACGUUUAUGCUGAAGCCUAGCUGGGACCUGUCUGAAAUCACUUUUCGCUAAUUCCAACAGAAAUUACCAUGUGAUAAAAUGCCUGGCUUCCCAGGUACCUCCUCAGUGGCCGAGGUGGGCUGAGCUGAACAGGCCCCUGUGACUUUCCUCCUCGUGCCUGUCAUGUACGCUGACAUUUUGUUUCAUAAAUUAUUCUGUAUCAUUCUGAAUCAGUUUACCAGGGUCUGAUCGAUGCCGGGUAAAUAGAUAAAAAUUGUAUUUUGGAGGCAGUUCAGACUGUAUUGAUCUGAGAGCAGAGGUGGUCGUAUUAAUCAAUCAGGCCCUACUCUCAUUUGCUAUCUCAAUCACUGGAUGAAACCAGAGAGAAAUAUCCUGUCCUGAAGGAACACUUUGGUUAGUUUAGGUGUCAGGCAAUUGUUAUGAUGUCCUGCAGGAGACCCCACCCCCACCCCCGUUACCCCAAACAUGAGAUGGCCUAUAGCCAGUUGGGAAGAUUAGAGAGAAUGUAAGUGACUACAGACCUACUUUUUCUGUGCAUGUUAUUUAUACAAUUUUCUUACUGCAGAUAUUUGGUGCAUUGGCUUAAGAUAUUUGUGCCAGAGGACGGUAUCCAACUACGUGAGCAGGGGCCCUUAGGAGUUAGGGGUGAAGAAGGAACAUUCCUGAUACCCGGCAUAGUGCCUCCUACAGCCUAAGACUCAGGUCAGAUUCCCCCACCACAUGCAGACUCUGGGCUAGGAUUCCUGGGGUUCAGGGAGGGAAAGCCAGCCAAGGAGUGAGAACACAGGACAGGAAGGAAGAGAGGGCCCAGAGAAUGUGACUUCUGCAAAAUCCCAGCCUCAGCCCGGCUUCUGGAGGGCCCUGCAGCAGAAACAGUGACUUCGUGGUUUUGUUUUUCCUUCACCUCUAAGGUCUGGGAGAUGAGCAUUCAUCUUUACCCUGUAUGCAAGUGCUGGCUACGAUUUGGGAUGUGGGGGAAGGAUAUGAUGGAGAUGCACAGAGAGGAGGGCAUUUGGGCGCCUGGUCCUCCUUCUCUGUUCCAUUAUCCCAAACCCAGGCAGUCCCCUGAGGAUGCUGCUGGAGGUAGGACACCCCAAAACUGAAUGUCGGGUACAAAGAAGUGGGAAAAGAUGUGCUUGCAACCUGCAGAGCCACAGCAGCAUGGGUGAGCAUGGACACUGAGGAUUUGUUGAAUUGGAAAUCUGUCUGCCUGUAGAUUCUGCAGCAAUUCAAUCGAUGGCAAAUUGAAGACUUCAGGGACAAAAAAGGGAGGAAGGAGGGUAGGAGGGAAGAAGGAAGGAAGAAAGGAAGAAGAAGGAAGGAAGGAAGGAAGGAAGGAAGGAAGGAAGGAAGGAAGGAAGGAAGGAAGGAAGGAAGGAAGAAGGAAAGAAGGAAGGAAAGAAGGAAGGAAACCCAUCUCCAGCUCAGAUAUUUCUUGCCUGGAAAAUUAUAUUGCUGUUGAUGCUUUUCUCAGCAAUCAUCCUUGAAGAAAAUUGCCUAAUCACAGAAUGUCCUUUUAAAAACAGAUUCCAUCAGCCAUGUGUGGCUGAUCGAAUCUGGAGUUGGUAGGAGGGAAAUUGGUUGAUCAAAAUAGACAGAGGGGACUUAAUUUGGGGAAAAUUAUUGAGGAGAUUUAUGUAGUGGCAGAAAUGGUUAUGACUUGGAAAACAGCCAGAAAAAGCUGAAUCAGAGGGAUUAUAAUGUGAUCAAUACUCCAGUGAACAGGUUGCCUGAGAGUAAAGCAACAUUCUGCGAAGCGCGGUCCAACAGCAAUGACAGACCUUCGAUUUGAAAAGAAUUCAGAGGUGCACGAUUUUUCCCCAAUAAAAAGUUUUAACAAAUGAUCAUUUAGUCGCAUACUUGGAUGGAGGUUUCACCUUGGCGCUGUUUUUUUUCUUUUCUUUUUUGUCAUUACGGAAUAGGAGCUGUCCCAGCAGCUAGAGACAGGUGCUGUUUUAUUUUUCUGAAGUUCUGUUACCUGUUCAUUCCUUAUCAGCAUUUCACACUGCAGGACAG